rnacentral:lncRNA from 1 species
CCCUUCUUUGUUGUCCAAUUUGGUCCCACCGACUUGUCGAACCUGGGGCAGAAUCAACAAGUGGGCUUCAAACUUGAUAAAGAAAUCAUAAACACCAAAGCUAGCAAAGAGUUUGCAAGAUUUGUUCGAAGAACUUCUUACUUGAAUCAUUUAGUAUUAGCCGUGAAAUUGUGUGAAGCUUUUAUUUUCAAAGAAGUUUUCGCAAGUUGUUUGUUGAGGUACUCUUGGAUCCGUUGUAGCAAAAUGUUUGUGAUAUAUGAAAAUAAACAGGUUUUGAUCAUCAAUAUUAAUCUUAGUUGACCCAUAUAGUUUUGUUCCUAACAUUAAACCAAGCCCGUCAAAAUGUGUUACUAUGAUUUUGUAUCUCCAUCCUUCAAGUUAGAUUACAUAUCUUCAAUGUUCUAAUUGAACAUUUUGAUUGUAUUUUUGUCGUAUCAAGAAAAAUGAUAUGAGAAGAAAUCCAAUUUCUCCAUUCAUUUAUUUGAAUUUUUCCUUUUCUUUUUGGCAUCUUCCCACUUUUUUGGGCAUUUGGAGGUGAAUACAGGUUGAGUUUUACAAGAGUUAUCUUUAGCCUUUGUCAGAAUUGUAAAAAUUUCCUACGUGAUUUGCUUGCUGUGAAUUUGGAUAUUUUGUUCCCAACCAUUUUCACUGAUCACUAAAUAACAAUAAAAGGCUGAAGGUACACUCGAAAGUAGUUGCCUAUUCUAUAUCGGUGAGAACAAAAAGGUGAAGAGAAAUACAUUACUUAUUUAUAAAGCAAAAUAGAUUUUUCUAGAUGGUUCGCAUAUUCUUGCUAAGUUUAGCUUUACAAACUUUCUAUAGCACCAAGUUUUCAACUUAUGUUUACACUUUGGAAGUACUUGACGAUUGAAAUUAUAGUAACUCAUUUAGUUAUAGCUUAUAUUACUUAUCAUUUUUCACUACCAUCACAAUUGCUAUUUCUAUUUCACCAUGAAAAUAAACUAUUCUUUUUCUUUUUUUUUUUAUUAAUGAAGAAUCAACUCCAACAAAUGAUAGUGUAAUCCCUGAAGAUAUUUCACCAUGAUAUUUUUUCAAGUACCAAUUUCUUGUUAUUUCUGCUUCAAGUUUAUCGUAUAACUAAGGUAUGUCAAUUUUAUAGUAUUUUAGUUUAGGUUUAUUUGUUUGUUCUCGUCAGGCUCAUUUCUUUUCCCAAGAUGUAAAUAAUUUCUUGUGCUGUUGAUUUCUCAUCAUUUCUGUUUUGAAUCUUGUGUUGUCAGUGUGGUAAUUUUUUAUUUUGCUUAUACUUUUUAAGGAAUUUGGGGUAAUAUCAGUCUGUUAUCAAUGGUAUUCUGAGUCUUUUCAUUCGAAGCACAAAUCAAAUUUGAAUUUUUUUAUGUAGGUCUUAUGUGGGGGUAUGGUUAGAAUUUGGGAGUUAAUUAAUUGAAUUAAUUGCUAUGGAUCAUGUUGUAGGUCGAAAAUUCAAGUUUGGGAGGAAAAUUAGGAGAGGUUAAUCCAAUUGGCAUGAAGGCAUUCAAAGAUAUAGUAGUAGAGACUCUCAGCAUCAACACAUGUCAACAUUUGAUGCAAUCCUUAACACAAGUACUUCUGCAGCUUAAUUUAUUGAAAAGGAAAAUCAAGGUUUGAAAAUGUACCUAUUUAUAUAGUUACGUAGUUUUUGCAAUAUAAAUGUUGUAAGUGAGUAUUGAAGUUUGCUCUUCUUAUCAUUAUGUAGAGUACUGAAUGGAGCGAACAAAUGUACUUAGGUCUCAUGCCGAGAAUAUCAUUCAUACAAAUUACUAAUCAGGCCUUCUGGUAAGUCAGUAUUGCUUCACGUUGGUAGGUUCUUGUAACGAUAUGUUGUAGAUAUGUAUGUUAAGAUUGAAACUGCUAGAUUAGAUUAUUUUCAUAAUAACCAAAAACAAAAUCAUGCUAAACUUUUUAAAGGUAUUGUCGAUAGUGUUCAAAAUGGGAAAACAAGAAGGGUGUAAAAUUGGACGAAAAUUUGUUUUACCACAAUCUUUUACAUGUGGUCCUCGUGACAUGCUAAGGAGAUAUAUGGAUGGAAUGGUUAUUGUACAAUAUUAUGAAAAAUCAGAUAUAUUUUUAACUAUAACAUGUAAUCCAAAUUGGCCAGUGAUUAAGUAAGAACUAAGUAAUAAUGAUGAAGUUCAAAAUUGAUCGGAUUUAAUUGUGCGUAUAUUCAGAGAAAAAUUAUAAGAGUUGAAACAUAAUUUAUACAAGGCAAGUAUUUUAGGCACAGUUGUUGCACAUAUAUAUGUUAUUGAAUUUCAGAAAAGAGGUCUUCCUCAUGCUCAUUUGUUGUUAAUUUUCAAUUAUGGACAUAAAAUUUCUUGGGCUGAAGAAGUUGAUAGAAUAGUUUGCUAUGAAAUUCCUGACAAAAACAAAUAUCUCCAUCUACAUUCUGUUAUCAUUAAACAUAAUAUGCAUGAUCCUUGUGGAAAAUUUAAUUCGAAAAAUGUUUGCAUGGAAGCAAAUAAAGGCUGUAAAAAUAAAUACCCUAGGGAUUAUUGUGAUAGAACUAUAUUUGGUCUAAACUCAUAUAUAUUGUAUAAAAAUUGUAAUAAUGGUAUUUCUAUUCAAGUUAGAGGCCAAAUGUUAGACAAUUGAUGGGUCGUACUUUACAAUUCUUAUUUAAGUAUAAAAUUUGAUUGUCACAUUAAUGUUGAAGUAUGUUCUUCUAUUAAAGCCGUGAAAUACUUGUAUAAAUAUGUGUAAAAAGGACAUGAUCGUAUUAAUUUUUCAGUUCAUACGAGUGAAACAGAGAAAGAAACAGAUGAAAUUUUAGAUUACCAGUCUGCUCGAUGGAUAUCUCCACCUGAAGCGUGAGGAGAAUUUUUUCAUUCAAUAUGGCUAAAAUUUACCCGAUAGUCUGUUCUUUACAGCUUCAUGUUGAAAAUUAUCAACAAGUUACAUACGACAAUGAAGAUGAUUUGUCUACUAUUGUUGACAAUGAAAAUACGAAACAAAAAAUGUGAAUAGAAUUCUUUCAAGAAUAGAAUUCUCAACACAUUUUGUUUGGAAUGCAAAUAAGAAUAUUUGGACUCGCAGGAAAAAAACAUGUUAUAGGAAGAAUUUUUAUAGUAAAUCUAUCUGAAGGAGAACGAUAUUUUCUUCGAGUUCUGAUGGGCCAUAUUAGAGGGCUAACAUCAUUUCAUGAUUUACGAACUUCAAAUGAAGUCAUUGUUCUUACCUACCGUGAAGCAGCACUUCUGCAUGGUUUGUUAACCGGAAAUAAUCAUUGUGAAGAAUGUCUAUCUAAAUCUAUAGUUUACGAAAUGCCUUUUUUUUUAAGACGUCUCUUUGCUACCAUUCUUAUACUUUGCAGCCCUAAUAAUCCAAAGCUUCUAUGGGAUAAAUUCAAAUGUUAUAUGAUUGAUGAUUAUAUACAUGAAAAAAUAACUUCAAAAGUUGUUGAAGUAUGGGCUCUAGAGGAUAUCAGUUUUAUCUCAGAAUCCUUAGGUAAAAAUAUAAAUGACUAUCAAAUAGUGUCAUACAAUGUAAAUACGAACAAGAAUGAUAGAUUGAGAAGAAUGGUAGAAGAUGAGACAACGAAUUUGGAUAUUGAAGGAGGUAAUGCUUAUGCGAAAAAGUUAAAUGACAAACAACAAUUUGCAUACAAUAUGAUAAUGGAAAAAAUAUCAUCAAGAUUAAAUGGUGCUUUCUUUAUUGAUGGCCCAGGAGGAAUAGGCAAAACUUUUUUGUAUAAAGCAUUAUUAGCUAAUAUGAGAUCUCAAAAUUCAAUUGCUUUGGCAACUGCAUUUUCUGGAGUAUCUGCAUCCCUCUUACUUAGAAGUUGAAUUUCUCAUUCAAAGUUUAAAAUUCCUUUAGAAAUAUUUGGUGAUGUAAGCUACUCGAUCAACUUUAGGAAUUUUGUUGAAAAUGUCAAAAUUAAUCAUUUAGGAUGAUGCACCCAUGGUCAAUCAUUGUGCCAUAGAAGCUGUGGAUAAUAUGCUAAGAGAUAUUACUGAUUGUAACUUACCUUUCAGUGGGGAAGUAUAGUUCACGGAGGGCAUUUUCGACAAGUUUUACCAAUGAUACCAAAAGAGAAAAAAGAAGACAUAAUGAAAGCUAGCUUAGUCUUCUUUGAAUUAUGCCCUUCUCUUUUACAUCUAUCAUUAACUGAGAUUAUGAGGGCAAAAGUUUGAUCCUACUUUCUGUGAUUACUUGUUUAGAAUUGGAAAUGGAACAGAGGAACACUAUACUUGUAAGGGUAUUGAGCGUCCAAAUAAUGUAAUUGUACCAUUCAAGAAUGAGAUAACACCUUUAAAAUGUUUGAUAUAUAAUGUCUUUUCGAAUAUAGAAGCUCAUGAUGACAAUUUACACAUGAUGCCAAAUCGAGCUAUUCAUACACCUAGAAAUGAAUGUGUUGAUCAUAUUAAUAAGUUAUUAGAAUAGAUUCCUAGUGAAAUUUUUACGCAUUGAUGGAGUAAUUGAUAAAUUAGAAUAGGGCUUGCAAGAAGAUUUACUCAAUAGUCUGACUUCAAAUGGUAUUCCAUCCCAAGAAUUGAACCUUAAAGUAUACUAUCAUGUAAUGUUAUUACGAAAUAUCAACCCUUUUGAAGGAUUAUACAAUGGAACAUCACUGACUUGUCGAAAAUUUUAGAAGAAUGUAAUUCUUGCAGAAAUUACGUCUAGCGAAUAUCUUGGAAAACAUUUCUUCUUACCAAGAAUCCCUUUUAUACCACUUGAAAGUGAUAAGUCUUCAAUUCCAUUUAAAAGAACUUAAUUUCCAAUUAGGUCAUGCUUUGCAAUGACAAUAAACAAAGCAUAAGGACAAACACUUGAUUUUGUUGGCUUAUAUCUUCCAGAACCUAUUUUUUGUCAUAGCCAACUUUACAUAGCACUAUCUAGAGCUAAAACAAUCAAGUCCCUCAAAGUUUUACUUAACCCAUCAAGCAACGAAAGUUUAGACAACACAUGUACUAAAAAUAUUGUAUAUAAGGAAAUUCUAUCGUCGUACAUAUAUAGAAAAACUUAAAUUGAAUUGUUUCAGUGCUAUCUUCUUCAAUGAACAAGUAAACAUAAAAUUUACUUUCAAUUUCUGCCUUCGAAAGCGAAAAAGAGGGGACAAAAAUUGAAGGCUGGAGUUGCACUUUUGAUUCUAACACGGGAUAUCGACAAAAAAUUGGUAGUCAGUAAAUAAAUUCACCUGAAGAUUUCAUAUAUGUUCUUGAAAUGUUUGUUUUAUUAUUAUGGAUUUUAUGUUAUAUAAUGAUAUCAGGCAUUUGAAGCACCAUCCUUUCAUCAUCUUGCAAAUGCAGAUUUAAAAAUGAUGACUUGAAAAUUUGUUGGUGGUUCUGCUGCAACUGAGUUGUUCCUUCUUACUAUCAAAAAACGUAAAUCUAUUGUUAGAAAAAAGUACACAUAUGUUUUUCAGAGCUUCUUUUUUUAUUCGAAGUUAAACUCACAUUUUAUCUAAUAUAUUUGACUGUUUGUAGAUAUCAAUCUACUUAAUUCAAUGAUCUUUAAAGAAUUGACUGCAAGAAGUAAACUUAUAUUGAUAGUCAACAAUUAUCCAUCAUUGAGGCAAUCUGUUAUUCCCUUUUGUUCUUUGCAAACUCAUGUGUUAAGUAAGCUACAUAAAAUUUUAUUGUUGUUUUUUGGUAAUUGUAUAAACUCGGGUGUUUGUAAAUUUUUUUCCUAAUUCUCCUAUUUUCUUCUAUUAUUGUACUUCAUAAUUUAUUUAUUUUUUUAAGCAUGAGUGGUUUUAAAUUGAGGACUGAAUAUUUCUUGACUUGAUCUCAGGUACCCAGAUUAAAACAAUUGUUUAGUAUGCUCCUUCACAGUGUGUUCCAAAGCAGUGGUCUAAAAAGGAUGGGUACGAAUGGACCAUAUUGAAAGGUGUUUAACUUAUUCUAAUUGCAUGUGGUUUCGAUGUUAUCAUUUGUUCAUUUUGAAUAACAGCUGAUUUGUUGAUAUACAUGUAGAUCUUGAAUAUUAGGAGUUCCUUGAAUUAUUGCAAAGCCUAUAGAGAAUCUUGCUAGUGUAGAGACACGGUUGGAAAGGAAGGAGUUGGAACGAGCUGGUGAGCUGAUAGUUUUAGCUUAUGUAUACUCGUAGGACAAUCCGAGAUUUAAUUUUUGAAAUAGUACAAUGUGAAGUCGAGAAAUGUUGUAUUGCCCUUUUAGUUUAAAUGAUUUCCUAAUUUCCUUUUAAGUGUGCUACAACUUUAAGGUUGCAAACCCAAGUACAGGUUGUCGCAAGUAGUAAAUCUCGGAAGUUCGAGGUUGAACCACAGGGAAUUGGAAGGAAAUAAACUAAUCUAUGAGUAGUGAACGGUUGGUGGAAAUAUGAUGAAGAUGAACACUAGAGCAUCGGGGAUUCACUUCGGAAAAUGAGUAGAAAUUGUCCUUGAUCUUUAAUUUAACUCAUGAAAAUCAAGUUAGGAGUGAUCUCAUAUGGAAGAUAAAACAUUGAUCACAAAUAUAUUAAAAGGUAGAUCUUGAUCAUUGUUUGAGAGAAUAUGUCAAAAUAAGUUGUUAGAAUGUAGAGAUUAUCUAAGCAUUUAUUGUGCCAGAAUUGUCAACAAUAAAUCAAAGUCUUUAACAAACCAAAACCAUUUGUAGAACAUAUACUUCAACCAAGUAAGAAGAUGAACAUUGAAGAACAAAAUGAAAGAUCAAAGACAAUACUAAACAUUCAUCAAAGUUUCACCCUUAGCUCUAGCUAAAUAUUUAGAAAUACAUAGUGAAAUGUUACAAAGAAAAUGAAAGAAACUAGAAUAUGAUGAAGAGGAAUGGAUUCUCUCAAAAUCAUGGCCAAGGUCCCCUUUUAUAGGCAAAGGAACAUCCAAAAUUCAAGUAGGCAAUGCAACUUGCUUCUGUCCAACUUCAAGACAGCUGAAACAUGCAACUUGAUGCCAAUUUUUAGAUACAUUGUGUAGCGAAUUUGAACUUAUUAUCAACAGAUAAAUUAUUACCACUUGAGUUAUCUUUCCAUUGGUUCAAAUAUCAGGUUCAUUGGAUCUAUAUAACUCCAGAUAUGACAAAAACAAUAAGUGCUGCUUCACAGGUAAAGCUGUAUCCGGCAGGUAACAAGCUAGAAUUUUCACGGUAAUUUUGGCUGCCUUAUGAUACGAAUUCGACUUCUUGCAAAACAUGAAAGUUGUAGAAACAUGCCUUAUAUUUCCAACCCAACUUGAAUCACCUCAAUCCAAUGUCUGCAGCUCAAGCUAUGAUUAUUUUACCGACAGCUGCUUCUUGCUUGAGACAGUCACUAUUUUUGACUUUUCAACAUUAUUUUCCUCCACUUGCUCCACUUGUUCUAAAUUAGAAAUACAUGUGAAAUACAUCAAAUAGAUACUCUUUCAAAUGUAUAAUACUCAUGCCAACAUGUAUGUAAAUACGUAUUUCAAUUAAUUGCAUUUUUAACCAUGUAUUUAUGGAAAUUGAAUUUACGGCAAGAGAAUUGAAAUUAGAGACUAACAUUAGUGAAUUUAAACAAAUUGAAUGUAAAAUGUCUUGUAAAUUUUAUAUCUUUGAAGCACUUUUAGACAAUAAUCAAAGUGCUUCAAAGGAAUGCUUCUAUAGCUACUCCUUUAAUGGACUUUGUUCUUGAAAAAAGAGCUGCAAAGAGUGGAACUUGGAUAGGAAAAUCUUACCAUUUGUUCACUAGUAUUUUAUAUUUCCCCUUUUUAAGGAAAUAUAUAGUUUUAUCUAAGCUGCUAAUUGGUAACGAACUUCCUGCAUGUAGCAUAAUUAGUAGCGGAUAUUCUCUCAGAAUGUUCACAUUAUCUUGAUAGCUUCGAGAUUUUUAUGUUUAAAUUUUUCUUUUUAACAUAAACAGGUUGACAAGAUGAAAGUUUUUUUAGAAUCGCUUUUCAGCUCCACUUCUAAAGUUGAGAAGCGCAUCUCAAAUAAUAGGUAUUAAAUUCCAUAUAAAAAAGAUUAUGCAAGUCAACCCCCUUUCGUUAAUUUUAGUCCAAGAAUAAGAUGCUUAUAAUGAUUUGAUCUUUAUUUUUAUCUACUUGCAUUCACUUUUUUAAGACCUUUCAAUCUCUUAUAUUCAUUCACUUCUUUGGAAGGCAUUUGCCAUUUGAAGUUUUAUGUGACUUCAACCUUCAAUGCAUGCUCAUUGGCAGUGUUACUUAUUGAGAAUGGUAAUUCUUAUUAUGCGUUUUAUUUAAUCUAUUUCCUUAAAUUUUUUUACAGCUUAGAAAGAAGAACUGUUAAAGUUUCGAGUAAGCAAAGCAAGCGAAGUUAGAGAAAUAGAAAAGAUAUUUUCCCACAUACUUUAUUACUUUUGACUAAGUAUGCGGAUGUGUUCAGAAAAUGAGAACAAAGUAUACGUCUUUGAUUUUAGAUUCUAAGAUACACAUGUAAAGACCAUUCUUUGGUGUUUAUUAUGAGUGAACCGAUAUACAGCAGAAUUUAACGUCUUUUACUUACCUCCUAUUUUGCUAAUAUUAAAGGGAAAAAAUGAUGCAUUAAGAAGUAUAAAAUGCACUAUCAUAGUGGAAUCAUAUUAGUUUCAAUGAUCCAACCAUAUAAAAAUAAUUUGCUCUUCUGAGUUUUUUAAAAAUGGAUGACUUGUUUACAAUUUAGUUAUUUCAAUAGAAAGUUUUCCUGUCCAAAAUGAUUGCAUUUGAUAAUUUUUGUUCGAUUAAAUCUAUGAACAAGUGGGCAAGCAUUUUUCUAUAAAUGCUGAAGCACAAUCAUUAGCCUUUUAACCACUGGAUUGAAGCUGUGAGUUACUAUUUUCUUCAUAUCCUUUGUUGUGAACUGUAUUUAAUUAUAAGUUACCAGUUAUUAUCUAAUAGUAGUAUCAUUUGAGUUGAUAUAGAUUCUUAUGCACAUUAUGUAUGUUCAUCCAAGCUACCAUUUUAGACACAGCUUACGUUUCUGUUAUGACAAGUGGUGUAAAAGUAAUACCUGUGAACACUUUUUCCAAUGGCAAUAAAGAUCUGAAAUUAGUUGUUGUUUUGGAACUUUGAUUUAUAGUGGAAGUAUCAUAGUUUAUCCAAGUUGGUUAACAAAUCUUACACAUGGCAAACAAAUCAAUGUUCAGCAAUAGUCAAGAUCAAAGCUUUGUGAACAGAUUAUGAAGUAUUCAUGUUUAUCUAUCAACUUAUCAUUUCUCAAAGCAAAGUGGUGGUUCUAUUUUUUUAUUUUUUAUUUUUUGGUAAUUAUUGCUUUUUUUACUAUUACCUAGGUGAUUAUAGCUUCAUAGUAUUGGAUUGUUCUAUCUAAUAUUUUCCUAGACAAAUGAAAACUUAAUUUAUCUUUACUUAAACUUUUAACAGUUGAAGGUAGCUAUUUAGUGCUACAAUUGAACAGUUGGAUUAAUAAAUAUCUGUUGUAUGCUUCAUUGUCUUAAUUUCUAUUGCUUAUUCAGCUAACAUUAAUCAGUAUUUGUAUGUCAUAUUUCUGGUUGUCGAGCCUGCAGGAAUGCUGAUUUUUGUCUUCAUACUUCCUUAUGUGUUUAGUUGAAUUUAAUUAGUUCAAACCAGAUUUAUCAUUUAUUCAUUAGGAUAUUUGAUAAUAUUUUUCAUGCUUUAAGGAAAUUAUUUCAAGUACCUUAUGGAGUUCUCUAUUGACCAUGAUUUGUAUGCCAUUAUAAACAAUCUCCUGGACUUUCUUCUCAAUGGAAUAAUGGGUUCAGGCUAGCAACCUUCUUGAAGUUUGUACUCGAAGAGAUAGGUCUCCUUUACCGAGCAGUGCAGAAAAAUUCUAGGUCUCUUGUAGCGCUACUGUUUAGAUUCGCCCCUGAGAGUAUCAGAUGAACUAAAAUCAAAAAAUGAAUCCAUGGUUGAAUAUGAUAGAAUUUUUAAUUGAAAUUUGAUGAUGUAGGGCUGAAAAACGUUGCUGCUGGUGGGGAUGCAUCUAACAAUAUAUUGGAUACACUAACAGAUGAUCCUAAAACGGUAAUAUAGUUUUUCUUUCCAUCACUUUCAAUGUUUGUAGGGAACCAUUGAAAUUUGUUCUUUCACACAUGCGUUUUCUUAGAAACCCUUCAUUAUCUUACUAGGCUUAUGUUUGCUUACCCUUCAAAUUUGGGAAUUGUGUAAAUUUUGGGAAUGGAUUUGUGGAGGUGAAAUGUAAUUGUUAACUAAAAAGUAAUGAAAUGCUUUGUUAGAGAUAAAAGCUUUGGAUACAUCAUUUUUCUCUAUCCUUUGCAUCCCUCUAAAUUUAUCUUAGCUUAAAAGGAAAAAUGUGUUCAAAACAAGUUUUAGCUGCCACUCAGAUACUGGGAAAUGCAAGUAAGAAGUAAUUACAAGAAACAAAAGAUGCUAUGAGGCAAUUUAUAUGAGUGUUUUAGGUGCAUUUUUUGGAAGCUAAAUUGUCAUAAAAAAAACUCAAUGAUCAAAGUUUUAAAGGACUAAUGAUGAUUCUAAAUAUAUAUGUAGGAUGCUAAAAAAUGAAAAUGCCGAGCACAUUCUUAUCUUGUUUGUUUAUCAUUUUUAUUGAAUUGAUAAUAUGGACUUUGUUCAGGUACUUGACAGAUUAUUUUAGAGCUGGUCGUCUUUCAUAUGGAGCCAUUGAAGAGCACGUCUGCAGAACGAAGACUUGUCUUUGAUCUUUCUCGAGUUGAAAUCCGCCUAGCCAAAGGUGGUACUGAGAUGGUGAAAGGUGAGCCUCCUACUAGAAAGUUCGACAAGCUUUUUGACUCUAACUAAAGAACCAAUCCAACACACACCGAUAUCCCAAACUAAGGAGCGAUCGAGGGAGAGAAAGAAAGAAAAUGCACACACUCCUUAUUCGCCCUUCACUAAACUCGACCACCAAAUCGUCUAAAUGGAAUGCAUUUAUUAGGAAAGUGUGUUCAGUCAAAAAAAGAGCUCAGCAAAGUCCCCAUGCUAUAUGCGGCGACAAUGCAAUCUAAACCUACUUAUCAUCUUAAGCCACGUCGAGAGAAGAAACCUAAAGCAGAACAAAAUGAUUGAGAGGCUUACGUAGACCUUUGCAUAACUCGAUGCAUAUCAUGAAUAGAUUUAUGUUAACAAAAAUUGUUUAGAUUUCAUCAUUCCAUCUUUGUCCUUUACUUUGGAGAAUGCAAAAGAAAAACUACAAAAAAAUAACUUCACUUUCACCUUUUCAAUCUCCCCAGACAAUACUUGAAGAACUAGGCACAUGAUAUGCUAAUAGAUCUCUCUUAUUUUUUGUAAGUUGUCCAUAAAUAUUCCAGUAGGUCUUGCCAUAUGCAUUUUUGAGAAACUAGAUGAACCUAAAAUUCCCACCACAUCAUGCAUUUUGUAGCAUUACCCAUCAGCUUGCUUUUGUAGUGUUAGAGUUACUAUUCUAUAUGCUUAUAGAGCCACACUGUUUCUUUAGCAACAAAUCUCUAUGGACGAAUAGUUUAUUACAUAAUUAUUUCUCCUUUCAAAAACCUUCUAUUGCAUAAGAUAAAACACACUUUUUCUUAAUCUUAACGACUCCAUAUUCGUUACAUAAUUUACAGUCUUCCACCACAUUAACCAGUUAUUUUUUAUUGGAUAUUCUGCUAACUAAAUUUAAUUGUUGUUCUUGUAGAUUUUCCCAAAGCCAGCAUUAAUUUGACUAUAUGUUAGCCGAAACUUUUACAAAGUUAAAAAAAACGACAGCUCUUUACAUCUGUCGUUAUACAUAUUCGGUUCAAGUUCACUUAUUUUUCAAAAACAGCAAGACAUAUAAAAUUAGCAAUAUCACUUCUUGUUAUACUUAAUCACAAAUUCAAACUUUCUACCUUACUACAACUUUAAAUCGUACGAGUGACACUUUAAUUGCGUUUACAAAAAGUAAAAUAGAUAACCAGCUCUUAUUCUUGUAUUUUCAAUUCAUACAACUGUUGUCUUACAAGAUUUUUACCGGUAUAAUUACACUUGCAACAAUAACUUGCUGGACUUUUUUGUUUCUUUUUCUACAGAAAAGCAGUACAAGUAAAUAUUGCGUACAAACUGUGAACAUA